AUCAUUUGCACUGACGUCACAAUAUUGCGUAAUCAUUUUCGCUGGACGGCAGAAGUACACAUUCGUACAUAGGAAUUAUGCAGACGAAGACAACUUUGACCAUAAAAUACCAAAGAAACACGUAGUUCUUGUAUUUUUAAAAAACGGGAUAUGUACCUGGCGUUAUCAGGCUAGGUUGGCCACGGUGGAUGUGUUCAAAUCAUAGAUUUAUUAAAAUGUAUUCUGCUCCACUAGGUGGCAUAACGGGGACGGGCGGGACGGGAAAUUGGGAGAAGAAGAGAAAGUUGUUGCUUGCUUCCAGCCAUGAACUUACUCUGCCUGCGAUGUAUUUUUUUUAUCCCGUAUUUAUUUUCUUCUGUUAAGUUGUGAACUUAAACCAAACCUCUGCAUUGGCAAAAUACUAGCACCUUAAUGCAACAUUUCUUCAUUGGUGGCUGGGCACCGCGGCUGGCAUCCUCUCGUGGCAUGGCACAGGUUCAUCAGUCAGGUGGUCAGCACCCAAACUAAAACCAUGAGUCACGGUGGCCAGGAUGACGUCCAAGAAUUGCUUUCCAGCAGCACAGGUAAAGACAUGACUAAUGGGGGAGCCAACAUGAAGAGGUGUCCAGAGAGGCUUCUCUCGCUUGGGCUUUGCAACAGCACCAGGACCUCACCAUCAGUGAUGCUGGUUUCCUCAUCCAUCGGGCCUACCCUUACAUUCCUCACCUGAUGCACUGAUCACCUGUACCAGUUGUUGGAGUUUUCAGCAGGGCUCUAAAUUAACUUUUUUCAUCACUAGCCAAAAUGGCUAGUAUGUUAAUCUCCAAACAUACCGGUACAUUACAUAAUGGGUCAAAGUGCCAAGUAUGUUUUCUUUUCUACCGGCCAAACUUAAUUUUUUCCAGCAUUUGGCUGGUUUGCGCCUGGUUGUCAUUGAUAGUGAGUAGUUGUGAUAAUAAAUAACUGAAAUGAUGAAGUCCAUCCAGCCAUGUUUUGCUUAUUUUAUUGUACUAAUACAACAACGUAGAACAUUUUCUGUGAAAGUGAAGUGAAAGCCCAACUGGGAAACUCCAACUCCCAUUGACAUUGUGACACAGCACACAAGUGUUCACUGCACGAAAUUGCAUUUAUGCUUCACCCGUGCAAGGGGGCAGCCCCCAAUGGCGCCCCAAGUGAGCAGUGCGGCGGUACCAUGCUCAGGAUAUCUCAGUCAUGGAGGAGGAUGGGGGAGAGCACUGAUUACUUAACUCCCCCACCACCAACCUGGUGGGUCAGGAGUCGAACCGGCAACCUUUGGGAUACAAGUCUGACACUCUAACCGCUUGCCCAUGACCGCCUGUCAAUCUUCAGUCUAGUCUAACUAAUUACAUUGUCUCCACUAAAUGUAUAUCCCAGGUGACAUGGGUAUACUA